rnacentral:lncRNA from 1 species
GAAUUCAUGUUAUCCAAAUUCUUGGUUAACCAUCCAUAAUUGAACAGUGGUUUCCUUUUUUUUUUUCUUCCACCGGAAUGGAUCUAAAGGUCUUUGUGGUUGGUAUUUGAAGUUGAGCUGGUCGAUAUUACUUUUAAUUCUGCAAAAUCUUUAAAAUUGUUGUUGUUGUAGUGUUCUCUUUAAAGGAAAACAUGCUAGCAUGAUUUGUCUUGAGUACAACUUCAUUCGAAAGAUCAAAACCCUUGGAUGGUCAUGUUUUGCUUAGGCUGAACCAUCAUUAAGAUCUUUUCAUUUAGUAUUGCUUGUGUUUUUUCUCUUGGUUCAAACAGAAGUGAGAAAAUGGAGGACUCCUUGAAACUCUUUUGGUGAACUAUCAAUGGUUCAAAAUGUUUGAUGCAUGUCGAAUUUGAAGCUCCUUAUGUUAGAAUUUUUGAAUGUUAUAGUUCAUUCUUGUCAGUUCAAGAAUUUUAAUUGGAUUACAGAAAUUAAUGGUCAUUUAUGAAUUAUCUAUAUAUAUUACUAAACUAUAAAGCUGGCUUGGCAGAGG